CAGUAGCCGCGGUAAUGCGAAGGGUGCAAGCGUUACUCGGAAUUACUGGGCGUAAGGCGUGUGUGGGUGGUUGUUUAAGUCUGUCGUGAAAGCCCUGGGCUCAACCUGGGAAUUGCGAUGGAUACUGGGCGACUAGAGUGCGGUAGAGGAUAGUGGAAUUUCCGGUGUAGCAGUGAAAUGCGUAGAGAUCGGAAGGAACAUCUGUGGCGAAGGCGACUAUCUGGGCCAACACUGACACUGAGGCACGAAAGCGUGGGGAGCAAACAGGAUUAGAUACCCCGGUAGUCCCUGUCUCUUAUAA
rnacentral:rRNA from 1 species